rnacentral:rRNA from 1 species
AACGUAGGGGGCGAGCGUUAUCCGGAAUUACUGGGUGUAAAGGGUACGUAGGCGGAUUUGCAAGUUGGGUAUAAAAACUUGGGGCUUAACCUCAAGCUUGUGCUCAAUACUGCAAGUCUGGAGAGCAGGAGAGGGAAGUGGAAUUCCCGGUGUAGCGGUAAAAUGCGUAGAUAUCGGGAGGAACACCAGUGGCGAAGGCGGCUUCCUGGCCUGUCUCUGACGCUCAUGUACGAAAGCUAGGGGAGCAAAC